rfam:Cyberlindnera jadinii strain CBS1600 genome assembly, contig: CJ1
GCCUCGCUGGCGCAAUCGGUAGCGCUUACGACUCUUAAUCGUACGGUUGUGGGUUCGAGCCCCACGUGGGGCA